GCCCGGAUGGCGAAAUUGGUAUACGCGAGAGACUUAAAAUCUCUUGGUGGCAACACCGUGCCGGUUCAAGUCCGGCUCCGGGCA
rnacentral:tRNA from 1 species